rnacentral:lncRNA from 1 species
UUUGAACUAAUAUAUAGAUGCCUAAAUUAAUAACAAUGAAAUAACCAGGCUACUUAAAGAUUAAACUCAAUACUACAGCAGCUACACAUUUCAAAUCUAGAUAUGCUGGAAGUUAAAAAGUCACAAAUUUACUGUUAUAAAUUAGCAGAAGCAAUAGAACAAAAAUAGAACAAUCGUAGAAGAUAUGUUAUUUCACAUAACAAAGAAGCAAAUUAAUAAACAAACUAUUAUACUACAGCAAUAAUAAAAACUCAAUUUUAGAAGUCUUAAAAAGAAACCCAAAAUACUAACUAAUUGUAGACAGUAAAAGCAUCACCAAAAUAUGAGAAGACCAUAUUUCAAUUUAUGUCUACCAUUCUGAGCAUUCAUCUUAGCAGAGGCUAUCAAUUACAUUGGAGGAUCAUUCAUUGAAAGUGGGCAUUUAAUUUAAAAUUGGAGUAAC